UACGUAGGGAGCGAGCGUUGUCCGGAUUCAUUGGGCGUAAAGAGCUCGUAGGCGGCUUGGCAAGUCGGGUGUGAAAACUCCAGGCUCAACCUGGAGACGCCACCCGAUACUGCCAUGGCUAGAGUCCGGUAGGGGACCACGGAAUUCCUGGUGUAGCGGUGAAAUGCGCAGAUAUCAGGAGGAACACCGGUGGCGAAGGCGGUGGUCUGGGCCGGAACUGACGCUGAGACUCGAAAGCGUGGGGAGCAAACAGG
rnacentral:rRNA from 1 species